rnacentral:tRNA from 1 species
GAGGCUUUAUCUUAAUUAAAGUGUCUGGGUUGCAUUCAGAUGAUGGGUAUUAAAGUUUCCCAGGCCUU